rnacentral:rRNA from 1 species
GUGGGGAAUCUUCCGCAAUGGACGAAAGUCUGACGGAGCAACGCCGCGUGAACGAUGACGGCCUUCGGGUUGUAAAGUUCUGUUAUACGGGACGAAUGGUACGACGGCCAAUACCCGUCGUAAGUGACGGUACCGUAAGAGAAAGCCACGGCUAACUACGUGCCAGCAGCCGCGGUAAUACGUAGGUGGCAAGCGUUGUCCGGAAUUAUUGGGCGUAAAGGGCGCGAAGGCGGCGUCGUAAGUCGGUCUUAAAAGUGCGGGGCUUAACCCCGUGAGGGGACCGAAACUGCGAUGCUAGAGUAUCGGAGAGGAAAGCGGAAUUCCUAGUGUAGCGGUGAAAUGCGUAGAUAUUAGGAGGAACACCAGUGGCGAAAGCGGCUUUCUGGACGACAACUGACGCUGAGGCGCGAAAGCCAGGGGAGCAAACGGGAUUAGAUACCCGGGUAGUCC